UCCUCCAAGGCUAAAUACUCCUGACUGACCGAUAGUGAACCAGUACCGUGAGGGAAAGGCGAAAAGAACCCCGGCGAGGGGAGUGAAAAAGAACCUGAAACCGUGUACGUACAAGCAGUGGGAGCACGCUCAGGCGUGUGACUGCGUACCUUUUGUAUAAUGGGUCAGCGACUUAUAUUCUGUAGCAAGGUUAACCGAAUAGGGGAGCCGAAGGGAAACCGAGUCUUAACUGGGCGUUAAGUUGCAGGGUAUAGACCCGAAACCCGGUGAUCUAGCCAUGGGCAGGUUGAAGGUUGGGUAACACUAACUGGAGGACCGAACCGACUAAUGUUGAAAAAUUAGCGGAUGACUUGUGGCUGGGGGUGAAAGGCCAAUCAAACCGGGAGAUAGCUGGUUCUCCCCGAAAGCUAUUUAGGUAGCGCCUCGUGAAUUCAUCUCCGGGGGUAGAGCACUGUUUCGGCAAGGGGGUCAUCCCGACUUACCAACCCGAUGCAAACUGCGAAUACCGGAGAAUGUUAUCACGGGAGACACACGGCGGGUGCUAACGUCCGUCGUGAAGAGGGAAACAACCCAGACCGCCAGCUAAGGUCCCAAAGUCAUGGUUAAGUGGGAAACGAUGUGGGAAGGCCCAGACAGCCAGGAUGUUGGCUUAGAAGCAGCCAUCAUUUAAAGAAAGCGUAAUAGCUCACUGGUCGAGUCGGCCUGCGCGGAAGAUGUAACGGGGCUAAACCAUGCACCGAAGCUGCGGCAGCGACGCUUAUGCGUUGUUGGGUAGGGGAGCGU
rnacentral:rRNA from 1 species